rnacentral:rRNA from 1 species
CCUACGGGAGGCAGCAGUGGGGAAUAUUGGGCAAUGGAGGAAACUCUGACCCAGCAACGCCGCGUGAAUGAUGAAGGUCUUCGGAUUGUAAAGUUCUUUUCUAAGGGAAGAAGAAAGUGACGGUACCUUAGGAAUAAGCCUCGGCUAACUACGUGCCAGCAGCCGCGGUAAUACGUAGGAGGCAAGCGUUAUCCGGAAUGACUGGGCGUAAAGGGGGCGUAGGUGGUUUGACAAGUUGGUAGCGUAACUGCGGGGCUCAACCUCGGCACUACUACCAAAACUGUCGGACUUGAGUGCAGGAGGGGCAAAUGGAAUUCCUAGUGUAGCGGUGGAAUGCGUAGAUAUUAGGAGGAACACCAGUGGCGAAGGCGAUUUGCUGGACUGUAACUGACACUGAGGCACGAAAGCGUGGGGAGCAAACAGGAUUAGAUACCCCUGUAGUC